ensembl:snRNA U6 U6 spliceosomal RNA
GCACUCACUUUGGCAGUACAUAUACCAAUAAAUUGGAAUGAUACAGAGAAGAUUAGCAUGGCUCCUAUGCAAAGAGGACAUGUAAAUUCGUGAAGCAUUCCAUAUAUUU